rnacentral:piRNA from 1 species
UAAGUCCUGGAUUGAAAUUUU